rnacentral:lncRNA from 1 species
GUGAAGUUACUGAAUAAGCUAAGUUAACACGCGAAGUUAAGGAAUAUGCAUCAAUCAAAUUUAAUUAACACCAUUAUAUACAACUCGAAUUAAGGAAAUAAGAAUACAUAAAAUAUGAUUGAAAGUAAAUGAAUUAAAACUAAUAAUAUAAUAACCUCAAAGUCUUGAGAAAAUUCUGAAAUAGUAGAUUAAUCUUGGAGUUUAGGCGACCAUGUAAUCCUAAUGUAAUUUAUAAUUCCUAAAAACUGUAUCCCUUUCC